rfam:Salmo salar isolate Sally breed double haploid chromosome ssa11, whole genome shotgun sequence.
AGUAUGCAUGACUGUACAUCUCUUUGGAUAAAAGCAUCUGCUAAAUGGCAUAUA